GUUUCAGCUGAAAUAGCACCUUCUCAGAGAAGCCUUCCCUGACCACGUGGUAAAAGCAGCCCUCUCCCACACAAGGCAGGACACUGCCGUCACCUUUUACCUUCUCUGUGACACUUAAAAGUAUUUAACUUGUUUGGAGGCCAAAUUAGAGUCAUUUCCCUUUGGGCUGAAAAAGUGUGCAGUCCCACCUGCAGGGGUGGAAAGGCCCAGUGGCUUCUCGAGUGCCCUUUGAACUACACGGCCGAUGGUGAUGGCAGAUCUCCAGGUGCCCAUCCGUCCCUCAGCUCAUGACCUGUGCUCCAUGCAGCCAAUUCAUACUGGGAGCUCUUUGCAGGAACUAGAUCCCAGUCACUCAUCCGCUUGGUGUAAGCAGGUAAUAUGAUCUCAAGGGACGGCUAGCGUGCUUCUCUCCAGCUGUUCCUUCUACAGAAUGGGAUUCCUGACACCUGCUCUGACCUGCAGACAUGGACUUCUCCCGGGAAUGAGAGACAGGAGCCAUUCAAGACAUGUCUUCCCUGCCUGCUUUGUCCCUUUAAAGGUUUCUCCAAGUGUCUGUAGACCACCUGUGCCAGUCUCCUGGAGUGUUCGUUAAAAACAGAUUCCUAGGCCCCGUGCCAGAGCUGCGCACCAGAACCUCUGAGUGGAGCCCAGGAGUUUCCUGGGGCUGUGCAUUUGCAGCAGGUGCCCCAGGUGACCCUCAUGCAGGCUUCAUUUUGAGCACUGCCACUUAAGAUGUUGAAAAAGUUUGACACGAGUUCUCCACACAGGACAGUAAUGCUAAGCCCCGUACUUGGAUGAUAGAACUGUGAUUUGAAAUACAUGUCCUGUGGGUCCGCUAUCCAGCAGUGCUCUGAGUUUGACCCAUAUAUUCUGAAUCCAAUCAGAGUCACCUUUGGAAGUGGCUAAUGUAAGAGAGGCUCUGGCCUUGGUCAAAUUCAGGAAUAAUGAAUGCCUGCAUCUCUCAGUUUCACAUCUUGAGCUCACAUAGCCCGCACCUGGAAGCUCCUGAUGGCGACACCACCAAGCAGCCCUCCUUGGGGGAAGGUGCCAUGAAGGAAGGAGAGUGAUUCAGGAGGCAGGGACUUCACAAAGCCGAACUGACUUGGUUAGUUGUCUGUGUUCGCUGUGGAAAUAAGGACGCUAACAGACACUGGACAGGACCGAUCAUCCACAAACUCCCACUCCUGGCCCACAAGAGAAAAGCAACCGCUCCCCAGUGUGGGUCAUGGCGUGUGUGUGUGAGCGUGCCUGGGCCUCACUGAAAUUCUACAGGAAGACGAAGCAUGAAAGACAGAGCAACAGGAUGCCUCACAUCGACAAUGGAACCCGGACGCAGUAGGAAUCGUAACUCGG